rnacentral:rRNA from 1 species
GACGAACGCUGGCGGCGUGCUUAACACAUGCAAGUCGAACGGAAAGGCCCUGCUUUUGUGGGGUGCUCGAGUGGCGAACGGGUGAGUAACACGUGAGUAACCUGCCCUUGGCUUUGGGAUAACUUCAGGAAACUGGGGCUAAUACCGGAUAGGAGCUCCUGCUGCAUGGUGGGGGUUGGAAAGUUUCGGCGGUUGGGGAUGGACUCGCGGCUUAUCAGCUUGUUGGUGGGGUAGUGGCUUACCAAGGCUUUGACGGGUAGCCGGCCUGAGAGGGUGACCGGCCACAUUGGGACUGAGAUACGGCCCAGACUCCUACGGGAGGCAGCAGUGGGGAAUAUUGCACAAUGGGCGGAAGCCUGAUGCAGCAACGCCGCGUGCGGGAUGACGGCCUUCGGGUUGUAAACCGCUUUCGCCUGUGACGAAGUGUGAGUGACGGUAAUGGGUAAAGAAGCACCGGCUAACUACGUG